rnacentral:tRNA from 1 species
GAGAGUGUGGCGAAAAUGGUAAACGUUGCGGACUUAAAAUCCGUUGUCUUUGACUUGUAGGUUCGACUCCUAUCACUUUCA